rnacentral:lncRNA from 8 species
CUCUAUCGCAAAUUGCUGAUCAGUUAUUAAUAGGCUAUUUGAUGGUCAACGGAGGUAAAUUGAUCAUUCUCCACAUUUAAUAUCAGUUUCAUUGAGGAUUUUUUACAAAAAAUUCUACAAACAUUACUGGGCACAGUCAUCAGCACAAAGGUCAAGAAGGUAGAAACAAUACAUCACACAAAGCAUAUACCAGGGGUAUGACAGAAAAAUAAUUUUUACUGUUCUAAUUAGGUUGGUAACCAUUUUAUAACAGCAAUAAGGAUUUGUGGUAUAUGGCCAAUAUACCAUUGCUAACGAAUGUAACCAGGCCGUGGUAUAUUGGCCAUAUACCAUACCCCCCUUGUGCCUUAUUGCUUAAUCAUAGCAGGCAAACGAGUUAAAUUGACAUCCAUUGAUGAAAAAUGAUCAGUCAAGGACAAAUGAUAUUUUCUCUUCCGACAUAUUCAAAUUCCUUUAUUAUGUCAUGUCACAUAGCUCACAAUAAUUAUUAUUUUGAGGAAAAACUAAUUUUGCUUCUAAUAUCGAUACAACGAUAACGUUUGGGAAAAGUACUUUUAUUGUAUAAAUAUGGCAACUCUUCUCUUGCUGAAAAAAAAACAACAACAUUUGGGCUGGUUUUCAGGCCUUUUGUUGCAGGUUUUGUGUUGUCAUUCUUAUAGAAAUUUGAGCUAGACCUGGCAACCUGUUUAUGAUAAAUCCCAUUCGACCAAAGAGUCCGUCUGUAUUUAUAGGCCAUUUUGAAGCGGGGAAUCAAGCAAAGAAAUAUUUAAUAGUUGCCUAGAUCUCCCAUGCACCAUGAGGAGUGCUGAGGUGAAGAAAUUGAAAGUGAACGAGUUGAAAGAGGAACUGCGUCGGAGAUCCCUGGAUACCAAGGGGCUGAAAGCUGACCUGGUGGAGAGGCUCAACGCGGCUCUGGAGGCCGAAGCUGCGGGGCCCGGGGGAGCUGCAGGGGAGGCACCGGACCAGGACCAGGCAACACCGGACCAGGCAACACCGGGCCAGGAGCAGGAGGAGCAGCGGGGAGAUGGAGAGGAGGGAUUAUCAACCGGGUUGUUGAGGGAUGAAGGAUUCCCGAACAAAGAUCAGUUUAGAUCUGCAAUAAAAUCUCUGUUGGGACCACAGCAGCGCUGAACGCAGACAGCGGUGUGUAGACUACUGUAGCUGCUGGCAAAGUAAUUCAAAGCCUAUCCUUUAUCACUCAGGGUGUAACUUUCAAGUGCUACUAUUUUUGCUAUGUUGUUAUUAAAACAAAAUCAGACAAUAGGUUGACCUAUUUACCUAGUCGGCUGCUGGUGUGUCUUCUAUGAUAAAUAAAUAUUCCUUUUCAGGUGCAUUUAAGUUGUGAGAGCCAUAGGAGAGAGACAUAUUUUGACAAGCAGUCAACAAUUCUUAAUGCAAUCACGGGAAAACGUUUUUGAAAGCAGUUUUGGCCAUUUGUUUAUGCUUUUUGUAAGAGGGGGAUACCAAUUUUACAUGGCUACUGUGUUUUUUCCCUAGCAUUACACAGCUGAUUCAAAUCAUUAAAGCUUAAUGAUUCGUUGAUUUGCGUAGUGCUAUGGCAAAAAAACAAAAUGUUCACCCCCUUGGGGUCCUUGAGGACUUGAGUUUUGUGUUUUUGUUUAAUUUAACCUUUAUUUAACUAGACAAGUCAGUUAAGAACAAAUUCUUAUUUUACAAUGACUGGGGCCAAACUCUCCCCUAACCUGGACGACGCUGUCCCAAUUGUGCACCUCCCUAUGGGACUCCCGGUCACGGCCGGUUGGGAUUCAUUCCUGGAUCUAACCAAUCCUUCAAUUGCUUGUGUGGCAUCAUUUUACAAAGGCAAUUUUACAACCAGAGUUUCAAGCAUGGUUUAGGUGCAGCUGCACAACAUAGCUCUUAAAGGGGCAAUGACAUCUUAAAGGGGCAAUGUCAUCUUAAAGGGGCAAUGACAUCUUAAAGGGGCAAUGUCAUCUUAAAGAGGCAAUGACAUCUUAAAGGGACAAUGUCAUCUUAAAGGGGCAAUGACAUCUUAAAGGGACAAUGUCAUCUUAAAGGGGCAAUGACAUCUUAAAGGGGCAAUGACAUCUUAAGACGGUAAUGACAUACUUUGUAAUAGAAACAAAACCAAAAAAAUAUAUAUAUUUUUUGAGAGAAUAGUAAUUAUUUAUAUAUUCAUAUUUAUAAUAAAAUUAUAAUUAUUAAGAAUAAUAACAAUCAGUAUGUUGU